GUAAUGAUGAACAUGCUUGCGAUACGAUGUUUUUUUCUUUAUGCUGGAAACUGAAGAAUUAAUCUCUAAAAUUGAUAGUCACCAUAUUUUGCAAGAAGCGUCCGAGCUGUGAUUGUGCAGUUAAACGGGGUUCUGGCAAUUUGACCUCACAAGCGCGCCGCCCCAAAAGCCCGGCUUGUGACUCUGGAGGUACUGAACUUGGUAUAUUUGAUACACAAGGCACCCUUCAAGUAGGAAGGCAACCUCCCAGGUGGAAAAGUAGAAGACCACAGAACGAUGUUUACUUGGCAUUUGUACUUAAUGCAAUCAUAUAUUCAAGCAGUACUCUACAUAUAUAUAACUGAUUACAUGAUGUCUUUAACCCUAUACACCCCAAUAUCAGAAUGCAUAUUCUCCAUAUAUUUCCUUAUGUGCUGGCAAGGAGAAUUUGUUUAACAAUCAAGAGGUUCUUCAGUUGAUUAUCAUUUCCUUUAUUCUCAUGACCUUAAUGUGUGACUCAGGGGUGAUGUUAAAAGGAGAAAUUAGAUGCUAGUCACUCUCAGGGAUUAAAUUAUUAUUAGCUGUACACAUUUUCAUGUAUAUGCUCCUCACAUUUGUUGGCAACAAUAGCGAAGAUUGUUAGGAAAGCAAACAAACAAGUGAACAGUAGACAGUGAAAAGAAGGAAACUGUAAACUUUACCAUGUGAUAGAAAAACAUCACAGAAUACUAAAAGAGGGGAAACUUGAAUUGUGCUAGCUAAUCUCCUCUAUUGCCAUUCAUGUUUUUGAUCAAAUAGAAUUUAAUCAGUUGUAGGGUUUGCCUGCAAUGUUUCAAAUUGCCAGUGUAGACUUCAUUCUCCUCAGAUGUCCACUGGUAAAAGAUAGAUACUUAAAAUAGCCAUUCAUAAGAAAAAGCACACAUUCACACUGAAGUGGUGGCAUGAUUGAUUUGUGAUAUUUGGAAUGACA